rnacentral:rRNA from 1 species
CCUACGGGGGGCAGCAGUAGGGAAUCUUCCGCAAUGGACGAAAGUCUGACGGAGCAACGCCGCGUGAACGAUGAAGGCCUUCGGGUCGUAAAGUUCUGUUGUUAGGGAAGAACAAGUACCAGAGUAACUGCUGGUACCUUGACGGUA